AGUGAACGCUGGCGGUAGGCCUAACACAUGCAAGUCGAACGGCAGCGCAGUAAGAGCUUGCUCUUACGGGUGGCGAGUGGCGGACGGGUGAGGAAUACAUCGGAAUCUACUUUUUCGUGGGGGAUAACGUAGGGAAACUUACGCUAAUACCGCAUACGACCUACGGGUGAAAGCAGGGGAUCUUCGGACCUUGCGCGAUUGAAUGAGCCGAUGUCGGAUUAGCUAGUUGGCGGGGUAAAGGCCCACCAAGGCGACGAUCCGUAGCUGGUCUGAGAGGAUGAUCAGCCACACUGGAACUGAGACACGGUCCAGACUCCUACGGGAGGCAGCAGUGGGGAAUAUUGGACAGUGGGCGCAAGCCUGAUCCAGCCAUACCGCGUGGGUGAAGAAGGCCUUCGGGUUGUAAAGCCCUUUUGUUGGGAAAGAAAAGCAGCAGGUUAAUACCCCGCUGUUCUGACGGUACCCAAAGAAUAAGCACCGGCUAACUUCGU
rnacentral:rRNA from 1 species